rnacentral:rRNA from 1 species
GUGAACGCUGGCGGUAGGCCUCACACCUGCCAGUCGCACGGCAGCACAGUAAGAGCUUGCUCUUACGGGUGGCGAGUGGCGGACGGGUGAGGAAUACAUCGGAAUCUACUUUUUCGUGGGGGAUAACGUAGGGAAACUUACGCUAAUACCGCAUACGACCUACGGGUGAAAGCAGGGGAUCUUCGGACCUUGCGCGAUUGAAUGAGCCGAUGCCGGAUUAGCUAGUUGGCGGGGUAAAGGCCCACCAAGGCGACGAUCCGUAGCUGGUCUGAGAGGAUGAUCAGCCACACUGGAACUGAGACACGGUCCAGACUCCUACGGGAGGCAGCAGUGGGGAAUAUUGGACAAUGGGCGCAAGCCUGAUCCAGCCAUACCGCGUGGGUGAAGAAGGCCUUCGGGUUGUAAAGCCCUUUUGUUGGGAAAGAAAAGCAGCAGGUUAAUACCCCGCUGUUCUGACGGUACCCAAAGAAUAAGCACCGGCUAACUUCGUG